rnacentral:rRNA from 1 species
AGCAGUCGCCGCGGUAAUACGGAGGGAGCUAGCGUUGUUCGGAAUUACUGGGCGUAAAGCGCGCGUAGGCGGUUACUCAAGUCAGAGGUGAAAGCCCGGGGCUCAACCCCGGAACUGCCUUUGAAACUAGGUGACUAGAAUCUUGGAGAGGUCAGUGGAAUUCCGAGUGUAGAGGUGAAAUUCGUAGAUAUUCGGAAGAACACCAGUGGCGAAGGCGACUGACUGGACAAGUAUUGACGCUGAGGUGCGAAAGCGUGGGGAGCAAACAGGAUUAGAUACCCCCGUAGUCCCUGUCUCUUAUAC